GCCUAUGGAACGAGAAGGGGGUGGGGCCGAGGGCUUACACUUGAGCGAUGAAUAGGCAUGACCCCGCAGGGUCUGGUCUCUGGAGAAGGCAGAAGGGGUGGAGACGGUAGAAGCCAGAGGGGGCGGCCCGUGCUCAGGGUGGGAGCAGCGUGGCUGUCUCGUGACCCCUUGCCCUGACCCUUGAAGGGUUCAGGCUGGUGUCUUGGAGGGAGGCGGGGCGGCGCCAGCAGGAGGUGGGCAGUGUGGUGCGUGUCUGACUCGCCCUUACCCUGUGUGUGCCAGUGUGUGACCUGGAGGUGGUUGCUGUCAGAUUCACCUCCAACGCCUUGGCUGCCCGGUGGUGGUGCAGGCUUGAUGACUUUGCCUAGCAGCCUCCCCUCCUUUCUGGUCCUAAUACCCAGGAUUUCCGCUGGGCACCCUUUUUCUACAGGCUUCUGGUCCCUGCUUUGUACUCAGGGCGUACCUGGGCUGCCCGAGGUGGCGCCUCUCCCAGGGGAGCCUGGGAUCCCAUACCUGAGUACUAGUGUGGGCUCAGCACCCAGGCACAAGCAGCCAAGAAAGCUGCUCGUCUCUGGCCUCGGCCAUUAUUCCAAAGUGUUACUGGUUUGACUGAGGCAAGCUUGGGAGUUCCUUGGAAGGAAGAGCUGUUGGCCUACCGGCCCUGGCCUUGGGAGGUGGUGGAGUGGAGCUGCUGGCGGCCAUCACGGCGUCCGCGGAGCUGGAGUGGAACGUGCAGACGCGGCUGGGAUCUGGGACGGGUCGGCGUCGAGUCAGGCACACUCGGCAGGACAGAGAGAAUGGCCAUUGUCAGUCGUAUCUGUCAGCCUGCUCCCAGAGGAAGCAAUCAAAGCAACUGUGAUCAGUGACCUUGCCCUUGACUGAAUCUAGACUCUGUGUCCAAGUCCAUGCAUGUCGUCAUGAAGCAAGUGCUUAAUUCAAAAGCAGUGAGGCAAGCAAGGACUCGUCCCACUUAUCCACAGAGCGCAGUCCAGCUCAGAAGUGGCUGCCCUGACUCGUCACACCAGCGGAGUUGGAGAGAUCUGCUCUCCCUGCAUCCCUGCCAGCACUUGGCACUCUCCCUGAACGUCAGCGGCAUGAAUGGACUCGAUCAUGUUGCCUUGUCGUGUUGUUUGCGUCCGUUACUCGAAGGUACGGUAGGUAGGGCUGACACCUUUUUUGGACUUUUUUGCUCUCU